rnacentral:rRNA from 1 species
CAAUAGCGUAUAUUUAAGUUGUUGCAGUUAAAAAGCUCGUAGUUGGAUUUCGGAUGGGACUUGCCGGUCCGUCGUUUCGAUGUGCACUGGCCAGUCCUAUCUUGUUGUCGGGGACUAGCUCCUGGGCUUCACUGUCCGGGACUAGGAGCUGACGAGGUUACUUUGAGUAAAUUAGAGUGUUCAAAGCAAGCCUACGCUCUGAAUACAUUAGCAUGGAAUAACACGAUAGGACUCUGGCUUAUCUUGUUGGUCUGUGAGACCAGAGUAAUGAUUAAGAGGGACAGUCGGGGGCAUUCGUAUUUCAUUGUCAAAGGUGAAAUUCUUGGAUUUAUGAAAGACGAACUUCUGCGAAAGCAUUUGUCAAGGAUGUUUUCAUUAA